GUAACCUGACCGGACGUGGGGAAUAACCCCGCGAAAGCGGGGNUAAUACCGCAUACGGUCGCCGGUGAGACACCGGUGGACAAAAGCCUUCGGGCGCGACCGGAGGGGCGUGCGGCCGAUUAGCUAGUUGGUGUGGUAAUGGCGCACCAAGGCGAUGAUCAGUAGCUGGUAUGAGAGGACGGCCAGCCACACGGGGACUGAGACACGGCCCCGACUCGUACGGGAGGCAGCAGCAAGGAAUCUUGCGCAAUGGGCGAAAGCCUGACGCAGCAACGCCGCGUGGGGGAUGAAGGCNUUCGGGUCGUAAACCCCUUUUGCAGGGGAAGCAA
rnacentral:rRNA from 1 species